rnacentral:pre_miRNA from 1 species
AAAGUACUCCCUCCGUUUGGAAUUACUUGUCGUAGAAAUCGAUGUAUCUAGAUGUAAUUUAGUUCUAGAUACAUCCAUUUCUGAGACAAGUAAUUCCGAACGGAGGGAGUAGCUG